CUUGCAUCAGGAAAUGGUGUCUUCCUUUUAAAAACCGCAUUCGCUGAUGACGCCUGCAACAUC
rnacentral:ncRNA from 2 species